rnacentral:rRNA from 1 species
UACAGAGGGGGCAAGCGUUAUUCGGAAUUAUUGGGCGUAAAGGGCGCGUAGGCGGCCAUUCAAGUGACGGGUGAAAGCCCUCGGCUUAACCGAGGAACUGCCUGUCAGACUGGAUGGCUUGAGACCGGGAGAGGUGAGUGGAAUUCCCAGUGUAGCGGUGAAAUGCGUAGAUAUUGGGAGGAACACCAGUGGCGAAGGCGGCUCACUGGACCGGAACUGACGCUGAGGCGCGAAAGCGUGGGUAGCAACAGG